rfam:Ixodes scapularis strain Wikel colony gcontig_1108379137296, whole genome shotgun sequence.
CCCUGGUUAGCUCAGUUGGUAGAGCGCUCCACUUGUAAUGGAGAGGUCCCGGGUUCGAUACCCGGACCAGGCA